UAGGGAAUCUUCCGCAAUGGACGCAAGUCUGACGGAGCAACGCCGCGUGAGUGAAGAAGGAUUUCGGUUCGUAAAACUCUGUUGUUAGAGAAGAACAGCGCAUAGAGUAACUGUUAUGCGUGUGACGGUAUCUAACCAGAAAGCCACGGCUAACUACGUGCCAGCAGCCGCGGUAAUACGUAGGUGGCAAGCGUUGUCCGGAUUUAUUGGGCGUAAAGCGAGCGCAGGCGGUCAAUUAAGUCUGAUGUGAAAGCCCCCGGCUCAACCGGGGAGGGUCAUUGGAAACUGGUUGACUUGAGUGCAGAAGAGGAGAGUGGAAUUCCAUGUGUAGCGGUGAAAUGCGUAGAUAUAUGGAGGAACACCAGUGGCGAAGGCGACUCUCUGGUCUGUAACUGACGCUGGGGCUCGAAAGCGUGGGUAGCAAACAGG
rnacentral:rRNA from 1 species